GUGUUGUAUGAAAAGAGAGAAGGUUAGCACUCCUCUUGACAAGUAUGGAAGAGGCUGUUGGGCCUAACAACACACAUAUGGUUAAGGCAUUGACACCUACUGUGUGACAUCUAACCACUGAAUGCU